rnacentral:piRNA from 3 species
UGUAUAGCUAUUUGCUAUGGCAAGAUAGG